UACGGAGGGGGCUAGCGUUGUUCGGAAUUACUGGGCGUAAAGCGCGCGUAGGCGGACCCGCAAGUCGGGGGUGAAAGCCCGAGGCUCAACCUCGGAACUGCCUUCGAUACUGCGGGUCUCGAGUCCGGGAGAGGUGAGUGGAAUUCCUAGUGUAGAGGUGAAAUUCGUAGAUAUUAGGAAGAACACCAGUGGCGAAGGCGGCUCACUGGCCCGGUACUGACGCUGAGGCGCGAAAGCGUGGGGAGCAAACAGG
rnacentral:rRNA from 1 species